rnacentral:rRNA from 1 species
GUGGGGAAUAUUGGACAAUGGGGGGAACCCUGAUCCAGCCAUGCCGCGUGUGUGAAGAAGGCCUUUUGGUUGUAAAGCACUUUAAGCGAGGAGGAGGCUACCGAGAUUAAUACUCUUGGAUAGUGGACGUUACCCGCAGAAUAAGCACCGGCUAACUCUGUGCCAGCAGCCGCGGUAAUACAGAGGGUGCAAGCGCUAAUCGGAUUUACUGGGCGUAAAGCGCGCGCAGGUGGCCAAUUAAGUCAAAUGUGAAAUCCCCGAGCUUAACUUGGGCAUUGCAUUCGAUACUGGUUGGCUAGAGUAUGGGAGAGGAUGGUAGAAUUCCAGGUGUAGCGGUGAAAUUCGUAGAGAUCUGGAGGAAUACCGAUGGCGAAGGCAGCCAUCUGGCCUAAUACUGACACUGAGGUGCGAAAGCAUGGGGAGCAAACAGGAUUAGAAACCCCUGUAGUCC